UUGACAACGGAAGUAGAGUAAUUAAAGUGGUUGUUAGUAUUUGUUAAAGUACUAUUAACUGAGCUGGGUUUGGCCAUUUAUUUUAAACAAAAAUAGUAUAUACCUAUGAUACAAAAUAUACUUCUUCAGAUUGAGGAAUAAAUUAAGCUCUACUUACAUAUAGUUUGCAAAACUUAUGUCCCAAAGGCUAAAUCAACUUCUACCUCAGUCUCUUUUGCAAAAAACAUGUAAUGGAUCUAUUCCAACUUUCAAGUCCUACAUCAUCUGUGACAACACUCAGGAAUAUAAACUUGAUUCACAGAAUAGCAGCACAAACAAUAGUGAAGAUCAGGUAAAGAAUUUAAGAAGGCCAACAAUUAUUAAGUCAAAAACAGGUCAGCUGAAAAGAAAAAAGGCUCCUCCUAGACCUCCUCCACCAAAGACUGGCAGCACCUCUAGAUCAACAAAUAUAUCUGUUAAACCAGCCACAUCAGAGAAGAAUGAUUAUCUAUCUGAGUUAGAAGCCAUCUUUGCUCCAAAAAAAGAAAUCAAUACAAAUUUGGACAGAUCAUCUUUCUUGAAACAAAAUGAUACAGUAGUUACAUCAAAUGUGCCUAAACCAGCAUUUCGUUACUCAAAGAAAGGUCACACUCCUCAUCACUGUCCAAGAAAUAUUGAUGUUGGCAUAACCUCAAGCACCUCUUCGUCUAGUCCAGAUUAUCAUCUUGUGUCUGUCAGUGCCAGUUGUAGAUCAACUUCUUUAGUUGAUGUGUCAGCUUUAUCUUGCUUAAACUCUAAACCUAAAACAUACAAUGUGUAUAAUCAGGAAGAGAAGAAAAGUCAAGAAAACCUGUUAGACUUAAAUAAUACAUACAGUAUUAAUGAGUAUUUACUAUUAGAAGGGGCUAGUGCAAAGUUGCAAGUUCCAUUUCAGUCAGGUAAUGUACUCCCAGAAAAACAUUUAUUAACCCCAGGCUCUUCCACCUGUCUUUCUAAAGACACUAAUGGAUCUUGUACAUCACCUUAUGCAGCAAACAACAAAAAUGAUGAGUCAUAUUUAAAUCAUAGCAGUGUUGCUCAACUUGAAAAGUAUUUUCCUGUGUCUAAUAUUCCUAAGAAAGUGCCAAAUGAAUCCAAAAUUUCAAGUUCGUAUGUCAGUUCCUACCAAGGUGUAUGGCCCCCUGUUCCUAUUAGUUUUGAAGACUCCAGUAGUAUGUGUCAAUCAUCAAUAGAUACAAAAGCCAAAGAAAAAAGGUCAUCAGUUAAAACUGUAUGUUCAACUAGGACCUCAACAAAGGAAGAAAAAGCAUUCCAUCAUACAUCUUCUCUUUCUAUACCUCAAAACCUUCCACCCACUUUUCAUAAUGUUCCUGAUGGGAAUAUGCCUGGAAAUACAGGAAAUUUAGAUAGAUUGAGAAAGUGUAAAACCCUUUAUAGCUUCAAAGGUGAAAGCCCUGAUGAAUUAACAUUCAAAGAAGGGGAUGUGAUCUUAUUUGAAGAGAAAAUAAAUGAAGAAUGGUGGAUGGGUUAUCUUGGUGAUCAACAAGGUAUUUUUCCAUCAUCAUACGUAGUGAUGGAAGGUACUGAUGAUUUCAUGAGUACAGAUGUUAAUAGUACAGAAGGAUCUACAACAUGCACAGUUGUGGCACUGUAUGACUAUAAAAGAGAAGAUGAGAGAGAUUUGACCUUUAAAAAAGGUGAUAAAAUCGAGGUUAGAGCCCGUAUUAAUAAGGACUGGUUGUAUGGUGAGUUUCAAGGUCUGAAAGGACAUUUUCCAGAAUCUUUUGUAUAUAAACCUUCCCAAGAGACAGUAGAAUUGUUAACGCUGACUGGUGGCAAGGAAAAUUAGCCAAAGAUACAACGGGAAAAGAAGGAAUGUUCCCCUCAUCAUUUGUUGAAAUACUGGCUUAAUAUUUUACAUAAAGUUCAAGAAGGAACCAACAAAUAUCUGACUCUGGUGAUACACGUGUUCCAUAUUUUUAUGUAUUUUUAGAUAAAAAUAUUCAAAAUCUCUAUUAUAAUGCUGUCUUGUGUUUAUAUCACUAUGUUUCACUUACAGAACAAAUCUAUUAACUCCAUGUGACUGUGUGAGAAUAGAGGUGAUGUUUUAUUUUGUAAAAGAUAGUCUUAUUGUUAAAUGCUCAAAAAAAAUUAAAUUUUUAUUAACUAUAUAAUGUAUAAAAUACUUUAAAAAUGUCAUGUUUUGAUAAAUUAGCUCUUAAAUACUUAAUGACAUGAAUACAUUUCAAUAUUUCAUAUCUUUUGAAAUUUAGAGAAAUAUUGUAGUUGUGGAGAAAAAUUGGCAUUUGAUUUUGACUAAAAUUUAAAAAUGUAGGAAUUAAAUAUUAUAUUUUUGAUUUAAUUUAAACAGAGUAACUUAAUUUAUGAGAAUAUAACAUUUUAACACUGUUUUAGUUUCUACUAUGUAUUAUUUUUUUAAUGAUUUUAAGGCAGUUUUCCUAAAUAUUCAUGUAAAAAGUUAAAACCAAUUGAAAAAUUUCAUAUUGACAGUAAUGAUAAAAGCUUUUUUAUCAGUGGUUAAAUAUACUACUGGUAAUACAACAUAUAAUUCUGUUUUACAUGUUCAAAAUCCCUUUGCAAAUGUGACAGAAAUAUUUAUGAUUUCAAAGUAAUGCUAAUAUAGUUGUAAUAAAGUUAACACAUCUUAGGAAAGUACAUGUGUUUAUGCAUCAAGAUCAUCUGUCUUUUUGCACUUUGUCUGAAAUGGAAUUUAAUGUUAUGCCUUAUGUAUAAGUUUUAAUUAAACUUCAUGAGAUAAUCUGUUAUCAAUUAAUAGUAUGUGUAAUCCUUUAAAAUGAUUUUAUAAAAAUAUGAAAUCUAACUUUGAAGCAUGUAAAAUUUUAAAGUAAAAUUGUAAAUUUUGUCAUUGAGAUAAGCAGUAAGUUGUAGAUAUUGCCACAUUUAUUCUAGUCUUUGAAUCAUACAAUUUAGUUAAAAUCACAUACAAAGUUUGCUUUCAUUUGUGGUAGGAAUGUCUAAUUUUACUUCAAAAUGUUCUGUACAAGACAUCUUAACUAAGACUGAAAUUAUAUUUUCAACUUAAUUUUUAUCCAAAUGAUUUGUUCUGUGAUUUACUGCAGUUUCUGUUUGAAAAUACUCGUGCUGCAUCUUGUCAUUUAUGGAAAUACAUUAUAAUCAAAAUAUUAUAUUGAUUAGACUUUGAUUAUUUUUACUGAUGUUUAUUUUUGUCAUUUUUGUUUACACCC
rnacentral:misc_RNA from 1 species